rnacentral:piRNA from 1 species
UACUUACCAAUAAGUGUGUGGAUCCCAAG